rnacentral:rRNA from 1 species
CCUACGGGAGGCAGCAGUGGGGAAUAUUGCACAAUGGGCGAAAGCCUGAUGCAGCAACGCCGCGUGAGGGACGACGGCCUUCGGGUUGUAAACCUCUUUUAGUAGGGAAGAAGCGAAAGUGACGGUACCUGCAGAAAAAGCACCGGCUAACUACGUGCCAGCAGCCGCGGUAAUACGUAGGGUGCAAGCGUUGUCCGGAAUUAUUGGGCGUAAAGAGCUCGUAGGCGGUUUGUCGCGUCUGCUGUGAAAACCCGAGGCUCAACCUCGGACCUGCAGUGGGUACGGGCAGACUAGAGUGCGGUAGGGGAGAUUGGAAUUCCUGGUGUAGCGGUGGAAUGCGCAGAUAUCAGGAGGAACACCGAUGGCGAAGGCAGAUCUCUGGGCCGUAACUGACGCUGAGGAGCGAAAGCAUGGGGAGCGAACAGGAUUAGAUACCCUGGUAGUCCAUGCCGUAAACGUUGGGAACUAGAUGUAGGGACCAUUCCACGGUUUCUGUGUCGCAGCUAACGCAUUAAGUUCCCCGCCUGGGGAGUACGGCCGCAAGGCUAAAACUUAAAUGAAUUGACGG